AGUGAACGCUGGCGGUAUGCCUAACACAUGCAAGUCGAACGGCAGCACAGUAAGAGCUUGCUCUUACGGGUGGCGAGUGGCGGACGGGUGAGGAAUACAUCGGAAUCUACUUUUUCGUGGGGGAUAACGUAGGGAAACUUACGCUAAUACCGCAUACGACCUACGGGUGAAAGCAGGGGAUCUUCGGACCUUGCGCGAUUGAAUGAGCCGAUGUCGGAUUAGCUAGUUGGCGGGGUAAAGGCCCACCAAGGCGACGAUCCGUAGCUGGUCGGAGAGGAUGAUCGGCCACACUGGAACUGAGACACGGUCCAGACUCCUACGGGAGGCAGCAGUGGGGAAUAUUGGGCAAUGGGCGCAAGCCUGAUCCAGCCAUACCGCGUGGGUGAAGAAGGCCUUCGGGUUGUAAAGCCCUUUUGUUGGGAAAGAACAGCAGCAGGUUAAGACCCCGCUGUUCUGACGGUACCCAAAGAAUAAGCACCGGCUAACUUCGUG
rnacentral:rRNA from 1 species